GUCUCUGGCCAUGCCACCCUGAACAAACCUGGUCCCCUCUGAUCUGGAAAGCUAAGCGGGGUCGGGAGCUAAGCUAAGAUGGGAGACCACCUAGGAAGACCAGGUGCUGUAGGCG
rnacentral:rRNA from 1 species